UACGUAGGUGGCAAGCGUUGUCCGGAAUUAUUGGGCGUAAAGCGCGCGCAGGCGGUCCUUUAAGUCUGAUGUGAAAGCCCACGGCUCAACCGUGGAGGGUCAUUGGAAACUGAGGGACUUGAGUGCAGAAGAGGAAAGCGGAAUUCCACGUGUAGCGGUGAAAUGCGUAGAGAUGUGGAGGAACACCAGUGGCGAAGGCGGCGUUUCUG
rnacentral:rRNA from 1 species